rnacentral:misc_RNA from 1 species
AACGCACCUUGCGCUCCUUGGUAUUCCGAGGAGCAUGCCUGUUUGAGUGUCAUGAAAUCUUCAACCUACAAGCUUUUUAAUAAUGGCUUGUUAGGCUUGGACUUGGAGGCUUGUCGGUCUUUAUUGAUCGGCUCCUCUUAAACGCAUUAGCUUGGUUCCUUUGCGGAUCGGCUGUCGGUGUGAUAAUGUCUACGCCGCGACCGUGACGCGUUUGGCGAGCUUCUAAUCGUCUCGCUUUUGGGACAACUUUUAUGACCUCUGACCUCAAAUCAGGUAGGACUACCCGCUGAACUUAA